GCCAGUACAGCCCCCUCACCUCCCUGCAGAGACCUCAACACACUUCACCAGGGGCUCCUCCCAGCCACCCCUAUUACUACUGGUGCCUGCACUCAUCAUUGGGAUAUUCGUGGGCAAGCCAGGGCCCCCAGAUCUGCUCAGUGGUGUCCCACCAACCCUGCAGAAGAGGACCGGACAGCCCACUGUAGAGACCUUGCAUGAUUUCUGAAAAUUAGGGACUCUUGGCAGAAGAGAAUGGUGUGAUAUCAUUGUUUUCCUAAGUCAAUACUUCAUCAUACUCAACAUAUCUGAGUGGUACUAUUCAAGGGAUCUGGCUGCAUAUGGAAAAGUCCACCAUCCUCUAUCUGAAACUCUUAGGGUCAUAUGCAUGCGAAAUUACCAUUUUUCUUCUGAUUUUAGAAA
rnacentral:lncRNA from 10 species